rnacentral:rRNA from 1 species
AUUGAACGCUGGCGGCAUGCUUUACACAUGCAAGUCGAACGGUAACAGGCCGCAAGGUGCUGACGAGUGGCGAACGGGUGAGUAAUGCAUCGGAACGUGCCCAGUCGUGGGGGAUAACUACUCGAAAGAGUAGCUAAUACCGCAUACGAUCUAUGGAUGAAAGCGGGGGACCGUAAGGCCUCGCGCGAUUGGAGCGGCCGAUGUCAGAUUAGGUAGUUGGUAGGGUAAAGGCUCACCAAGCCAACGAUCUGUAGCUGGUCUGAGAGGACAACCAGCCACACUGGGACUGAGACACGGCCCAGACUCCUACGGGAGGCAGCAGUGGGGAAUUUUGGACAAUGGGCGCAAGCCUGAUCCAGCAAUGCCGCGUGCAGGAAGAAGGCCUUCGGGUUGUAAACUGCUUUUGUACGGAACGAAACGGCUCUGGUUAAUACCCGGGGCUAAUGACGGUACCGUAAGAAUAAGCACCGGCUAACUACGU